rnacentral:rRNA from 1 species
AAUCAACGCUGGCGGCGUGCCUCAGACAUGCAAGUCGAACGCUGCUGAUCGCCUUCGGGUGGACAGCGGAGUGGCGCACGGGUGAGUAACACGUAGGUAAUCUACCUUUGGGUGGGGAAUAACAGCCGGAAACGGCUGCUAAUACCGCAUAAUGCAGCGGCAUCACAUGAUGACAGUUGUUAAAGCGGGGGAUCGUAAGACCUCGCGCCUGAAGAGGAGCCUGCGGCAGAUUAGGUAGUUGGUGAGGUAAUGGCUCACCAAGCCUGCGAUCUGUAACCGGCCUGAGAGGGCGGUCGGUCACACUGACACUGACAU